rnacentral:rRNA from 1 species
AGCGAACGCUGGCGGCAGGCCUAACACAUGCAAGUCGAACGAAGUCUUCGGACUUAAUGGCGGACGGGUGAGUAACACGUGGGAACGUGCCUUUAGGUUCGGAAUAACACAGGGAAACUUGUGCUAAUACCGAAUGUGCCCUUCGGGGGAAAGAUUUAUCGCCUUUAGAGCGGCCCGCGUCUGAUUAGCUAGUUGGUGAGGUAAAGGCUCACCAAGGCUACGAUCAGUAGCUGGUCUGAGAGGAUGACCAGCCACAUUGGGACUGAGACACGGCCCAAACUCCUACGGGAGGCAGCAGUGGGGAAUCUUGCGCAAUGGGCGAAAGCCUGACGCAGCCAUGCCGCGUGGAUGAUGAAGGUCUUGGGAUUGUAAAAUUCUUUCACCGGGGACGAUAAUGACGGUACCCGGAGAAGAAGCCCCGGCUAACUUCGUGCCAGCAGCCGCGGUAACAC